rnacentral:SRP_RNA from 1 species
GCUUUGUCCUGUUCGAUCUUGCUCCUGUUAAUCGGGUCAGGCCUUGAUCGGAGCAGCCCUACGCAGGAAACAAGGUGCUUGCAGGGUUGCAAUGCUGA